rnacentral:misc_RNA from 1 species
UUGAUAAGCGUGAGGUCGGAGGUUCAAGUCCUCCCAGGCCCACCAAUUUACCUAUCCAUUUGCCUUUAUCCGUUUAUUUGCCGAUUUAUCGGUCUAUUGAAUUUAAGUGUUGGUAGCAGUUUUUAUAAUGAUGAGAAAUCAUGCUUAUAAAAGAACUCCUUAUAAAAGGCUUGUUUUUAAAAUGUGACGCUUAUCCAUUUCGCUUAGGCAAGAGAAACUUCAAGCGGUUCAAAUGCAAAAGGCUUUAAAUUUUGCAAAACACUUUGAAUUUUAAAGUGAUCCAAGUUCGUGAUCUCGAAUUUAAAAGUUUCGAAUGCUUUAUCCUUUUUUGGGGGCCGUAGCUCAGCUGGGAGAGCACCUGCUUUG